rnacentral:tRNA from 1 species
AGGAGACGAAAAAAAAGUAGUCGCUACCAAGAAUCAAUCCCAAAAGGUCGGAGCGAGGCGAAAUUGGCUUUCAAACUAGGUUCUGGGUUCACACAAGACCUGAAUCAGGAACAAGGGCUAUUAGCUCAGGUGGUUAGAGCGCACCCCUGAUAAGGGUGAGGUCCCUGGUUCGAGUCCAGGAUGGCCCACCUGCACAGGUGGCAAAAACAAAGAAGCGAGGAAUCAGCACCUUAUCUUACUGACAUAGUAAGAGAGAAUGCUGGCUCUGAGUAAAGAGUCCAGAGGAACCUUGAAAACUGCAUAGAGCUAGGUGAAAAA